AUCCCCACCACUGGCCACUCGCCGAGGCCGCGGAUGGCGCCGCCGGCCGCGGGGGAGGAGGACCUCCUGCUUCCUGGAGGAGCGGCAUGCCGGCCGCCGGGUGCGGGGAGGCCCUCCACGCCGCCGCCGCGCGCUGCCCAUCCCGUCCGCGCCGGCGCGGGCGCGAAGCUACCGUGCGGGGCGGUGCGGGGGAAGGCCUGCGCGCACCGCUCAUCAACGCGGAGAGGAGAUCCGGGGAAGCCGAGGCAGGCGCGCGGUGAGGCCAAAGUCGUGGAGACGAUUGCGGGCCUGCCAUGCCUCCGCUCCUUCCUGGGCUGGCGACAAUUUUCGGCGCAAUGACACUGACCCAGCGAGGCGGCUCCUCCAUUGGUCUCUCCCCCACCGUCGUGGACCGGACCACUCGCUGGACGACCACCCCGCGGACACCAUGCGGGUGGCGCUGCCGUCGCGGGCUCGCGACGGCGGCUGCGCGACGAGUGCAGAACCAAGCUCCCAUCGCCAACAUGCUCCGGUAAUUAACUGCCAAACAUUAAGAAUGCAUCUCGGAUUGCAUGCAUCUCUACUGCUACAUCUCUUAUCGAUGGUCGCUCUCGAGGCUGUUGCUGCGAGCAGGACAGGCCCAGCCUGAAGACAGAAAUCAAGCACUCCUGGACUCUACUUCUUGUAAUGUUAUCCAUGGGUUCUUCGUGCAGCCAGAUUGUUGAGUCCACUAUCUCCAUGGCUUUAUCAGGAAGAGCAUCCUUGGUAUACUUAUGCAGACCUAGUGAAUCUCUGAGCAUGUCAUCUGUUGGGCUCCUUCCAGUAAAAAUCUCAAGCAGCAAUAUGCCAAGACUAUAGAUAUCACCAGCCGACGUGAUUGCAGAUCCCUCACCAUACUCUACAGUUGAGCAAACAUUUUCUGGUUAGCAUGUCAUAUUUAUUUGAAAUACACAAAGUAACUUAUGUAGAACUUGAGUCACCUGGAGCAACAUAGCCAAUGGAACCUCUUAUUCCGGUUGUGCUAGAUGCAUUUAGCAUUCUCUUGCUUGCAUUUUCCGGGAGGAAUUUUGAUAUGCCAAAGUCUCCAACUCGGGCACUCAUGUCUUCAGCAAGAAGGAUGUUGCUUGGCUUCAGAUCACAAUGGAUAACUGGCGGUUGACAGCUAUCGUGAAGAUAUUCUACUGAAGCAAUGAUAUCAGAAGCGAUAUCAAGCCUCUGGUCAAGGCUUAGUGUGUUUCUUGUAGUGGAUUUUUGAAAUUUUGGGUGAAGCCAAACAUCAAGGCUACCAUUAGGCAUAAACUCAAAAACCAAUGCCUUGAACUCUUGACCUUGCAGAUCAAAGCUCGAGCAACAAGUAAUGAUCUUUAUGAGACAACGGUGCCGUAUCCUUCUCAUGGCCUCACAUUCCACCUCGAAACUCUUGGAAGAUCCAGACUGAUGAAGGUUGAAGACCUUGACAGCCAAGGGUUUAUCCUCAUUGUCAAGAAGACACUUAUAAACUGUACCAUAUCUUCCACUUCCUAGCAAUUUUGCCUCUGAAAACCCAUCAGUACCUUUGGAUAAUGCAUGGCCUUAUGGAGCAAGGUGCCAAGUGAAGUUGAGGUGCUCCACUGCACAACUCAGUAUUCCCAGCGACUGAUUUGUAAGAUAGGUUUCUGAACGCACCUCCAUCUGGCACCUUGCCUUGCAGGUACAACUGUUGCAGAGCUCCAAUAUUACCGAUGGCAUCAGGGAUCCCACCAGACAAAUUGUUCAUGGUCAGAUUCAAUACAACAGCUGGUUACCUGAUAGGAUCAAUUGAUUGAGGUCGGUCAUGGCACCAACUUCUGAUGGAAGGGGUCCUGAAAGAGAAUUGUACGAUAAAUCUAAGUAAUAUGAAAGCGAAGGAAGCUUCAAAAUUUCCUUGGGUAUUGAACCAUUGAGGUAGUAAUUUGUCGACAGAUCAAGAAGAAAUAAAUUCUUCAGGUUCCCAAGACUUUCUGGGAUUGGUCCUUCCAAGUUGUUGUAAUAUGCAAGGAACCUGGUUAGCUUUGUGAGAUUUCCAAUAGAUGGUGGUAUGAGACCUGACAAGCCACUACUAUAGAGGCCAAA